ensembl:lncRNA novel transcript
CUUCAUGGAGGCAGGGGGUUUCGUUCAUUGCACUACUCCCAGUGCUUGGAAUGGUGCCUGGGACUCUAUAAGUGCUUUAGAUGGGUGUCUCGCUGUGUUAUCCAGGCUGAUCUCAAACUCCUGGCUUCAAGUGAUCCUCCCAUAUUGGCCUCCCAAAGUGCUGGGAUUACAGGUGUGAGCCACGGCACCCUGCCGAAUCUUUGAGUCUGGACACCAGUAGGUGGUCAUGGUCCAGUUCCUUGCCCAGAUGCCCACAGGGACUUCCAGCUUCCAGGCUGCAAUCACAGAGAAUGAAGAAGGAAGGCUGUUCGAGAAAUAUGGGCAGCUCUUACAGGAAAGCCCCCCAGCCUCUAACAGGCCCUCUCUGGGCACCGAAGGUGCCAGUGGUCUUCCAAGGCCCGGGAUGUGCCCUGGACGUGAUUGCUCUCCUGGGUCUUGUCUUGCUGCUCUUUGCCCCCGCCCUCCUCCUCUCUACCUGAUGGUGCCAGGUAAGGCUUCAGGCAUGGCAGAGGCUGAACUGAGAGCCACCCUACCUUGUUCCUGUGGCUCCAUCCCCCUAUCCACACCCAAGAGAUGAGAUCCUGGGGCAGUUGGCAUCUGACAGCCUGGCAUCGACUCAUGCCAACAGCUUGGAAGCUGCAGUAAUUAGAAGGGGAGAGGGAGAGAGGGGGAGAGAAGGAGAGCGAAAGCAAGCUCUAGAGAGAAACCUUCUCCUGCCUGCCGCAGGGCAAACUACUUCAAACGAAUUCGUUUCGCUCUUGUGAAACUGAAGACAAUUUCCUUUUCUGUCAUAAAACAAAUUAUUGCUCAUCAGGA